GGCUUAUUGAAAAUAAUUUUAGGUCUGAUCUGCCCAAUGAAUUAUUAAAUGGCUGCAGUAUUUUAACUGUACAAAGGUAGCAUAAUAAUUAGUUUCUUAAUUAGGAACUGGAAUGAAUGAUUGAACGAGAUAAUAACUGUCUUAAUAUAAAUUUUAGAAUUUUAUUUUUAAGUUAAAAAGCUUAAAUAUAUUUAAAAGACGAGAAGACCCUAUAGAAUUUUAUAUAAUUAUUUUAUUUGAAUUUUAGUAGUUAAAGUUUAAAUUUUAAUAAUAGUAUUUGGUUGGGGUGAUUGAAAAAUUUAUUUAACUUUUUUUUUAGUGGGACAUAAUUAUAUGAGUGUAUGAUCCAGAGAGUGUUGAUUAUAAGAUUAAAUUACCUUAGGGAUAACAGCGUAAUUUUUUUGGAGAGUUCUUAUCGAUAAAAGAGAUUGCGACCUCGAUGUUGGAUUAAAGUUAAUUUUUGAAGCAGAAAUUAAAAAAUUAGGUCUGUUCGACCUUUGAAACUUUACAUGAUCUGAGUUUAAAUCGGCGUGAGCCAGGUUGGAUUCUAUCUUUAAAAUUUGUUAGUAUUAUAGUACGAAAGGACCUGGUAUUAGUUAAAUUAAUUUAAUUUGAGUAUUA
rnacentral:rRNA from 1 species